GUUGGUUGACAGUGUACCCAUGUGGACAGCAGGCAUCCUGGCUUUUAUCAGCAACACAGCAGGACCAGGGCAGGAGUUGUCACCCUGGAUUGGGCACUGGUGUUUGUAGACCUUCUUUCUGUAGAGGACUAAAUGGAUCCAGAAAAGCCUCCAGAAUGGCUAUAGUGCUGUCCAGUUUGAUUUUAUUCAGACAAAAAUUUAUGUUGUGAAGAGACACUUUGCAACAAGAGGAUCUAUUCCAGAUCAAAGCCAUACCAAAGAAGUAAAUAAAGGAAGGAUGGGAAGAAGGACAAAAGAGAAGGAGGGAGUAUAACUAAAUAAAAUAAUUAAUAAAGCAGUAUUCAAGCUGAAAUUCUUAUGUAAACUUUCAUUUUAAAUCCCUUAAGCAAAUUAGUCGUUUAAGGCUUUCAGGUCCUUUAAUUUUUUUCCUACCUUCUCCUUUCUGUUAAAUGGUGGCAGAUGCUUCACUAUAUUUGUUCAGUUAAAUGUAUUUUUCCCAGUCCAACUCUUCAGUUUGCUUUCAUUGUAGCCUGAAAGGUUUCUCUUGAGUAUUUUUUACCCACAUUUUUUUCAUACUUAUUAGGUCUUGAGAUGCACCUUAUUAUGUUUUCCUGGAUUAUUCCAUGCACCAUUGAAAAUUUGCUUUUUUAUUUGGACUUCUAUUGAAUGUUCCUUUCAAAUGACUUCCACACUCAGAAAAAGGUUGAAAUUAGUAUUACUGUUAUUUAAUAUUGCAGUGGCCAUGAGAAAGGAAUCUAGAGGUUUUAAUGAGAGAUUUUCAAGGGUUUGUUUGUAUUUAUAAGGCCAGGAAUUACUAUGAACAAAUAGUUUUAACAAUAGAAUUACAGGUUUCCACUAGUACCAUAGUUUUAAAG